GUCGGUUACGGCGACGCCGUACCGGUUACACCUAUUGGCAAGCUACUGGGUACAAUGUGUGCGCUUGUCGGCGUUUUAGCCAUCGCACUUCCUAGCCCCGUGAUUGCAACUCGAU
rfam:Nematostella vectensis strain CH2 x CH6 NEMVEscaffold_7_Cont1322, whole genome shotgun sequence.